ACUGUACUGUUCAGAGGUAGGAUCCCUUUGUUAAUAAUAUAAAAUUAUCACAUUUACAUUACUACUUUUUCACAUGAGGAUAUUGUCCUUUAUGGCUUACAGUCUGGUCAAAAUGUAACUAUUUAGUUUUUCAUUACUCAGGAUUUUGCCGUUUUGAAAAGUGUGUUGGUGUAUUUGUGUCCAUAUUCCAACCAUUUCAUUUUGAUGUAGACCGAUAUUGUAUUUAUGAAAGACAUGCUUGGAUUACUGCUUAUAUUAUUUUACUCUCAGUGUUGGGCUGAAGAUGUGUGUUUCAAUCUGACAAAUUAUGAAAUUAAUAUAACCAUUGACAACCUAUCAAUAAUCGACAAUCCUAAAAAUGUUGUGUUGUGUUCUGACUGCUCGUACGUACUGCACUGCGAGUAUGCCCGGCAAACAGUCUCGUGGUUCAAUGGCUCAUUUGCCUGCCUCAGCGCAACUAUGUCGCCCUCUGAAUACUACAA